GGAAGAAGUAACGCUGCGUGCGGGACCUCCCUACUUCCUCCCCAGCUGUGGAUAAACCAGGGACGGCUUCAGAUUUGCCCUUUCCACCCUGUCCUUUCAGUAGCUACAAAGGAGUGGAAAAGCUUCUUUCCUAAGCAUUAGACCAAUUCGCGUGUCUUGACCAACAACUGCUGAAUUCGACAAUUAGUGUUCAAGAUGGAUUUCUGCAACAGAAAGCUGUUGGCUCAGAGCUACUGGAGACUCAGCAGCUUCCCCUACUUUCAUCAAUGAGGGGUGAAGCAUCUCAAUCCCUGCCUUUGCUGCCACCAAUUUAAGAGCCAGGGUUUUUUUCUGGGGCUCUCUAGGCUUACGAUCUCCUGUCUCAGGCUCCAGUGCCUUCAGCAGUGGCUCAUCAGCACAGCACAAGCACAGCUCAAGUCCAUCAUCUGAGAAACACCACCACCGAUCUGCUACGGAUGAGGAUCUUCCAGCUGCUGAGUGGACAAGUACUCCAAGACAGGAAUCUCCUGCACUACCCAACAUGCCGGUCCAAAGGACAGGUUCCUUACAACUGACACUUUUUUAACAAUGAGCUUGUAAUCAUCUCAGCGAUCCUUGCCCCUCGUUUGCACACACGGUUGAAGGCCAACUGUGCUACUCUGCACUCCUGCUUUCGUUCUGCAGCCACCAACCACGUUGGAGCAAGCUUUCAGCGUCUCGGGCCUGACUCUCCUCUCUUUCUGACGGGAGUGCAUCUAUCUUGUGUGAGAAAGGACAGCGUGCCAUACAUCGAUUGUUGAAAUCAACAGUUAAUCCUAAAGCCUUAUUUUGCAUCAUUAAUAUUAGACAGAAGCUGUACAACCUGGGGAAACUCAGAGCCAGCCCACAUAAACUUUCUCGUGUGUGGACCUUGCCUUAUUCUUCCCCAGGGAAGCUGAGUCUGCUGCCUCUGUGAGCACUCCGCGAACGCACUGCAGCGGGUGCUGUUCCAGACCACCACCAGCCCUCCGGGCUUCUCCAGGUUAGGCACCUCUCAUCACUCACUCACUUAUCAUCUAAGUACGUACAGAUAUUAAAUAGUGAAUACACCUUUGUCAAAUUGAUAAAUAAUUCCACAAGAGGUUUGACCUUGAUAACUUCAGUGUUCCUUUCCUGAUCUGAAAUUCUAUUCGUCUCAACUGCCAGCUACAGACUGUAAGAACUAGGAAUGUUUAUGUGAUUAUACAAAAGUUGGUCAUUAAUGGAACGUUAAUAAUUUUCCUGCAUUAUGUUGGUAAUUUAAGACCCAGACUGAAGUAAAAUCCUGUUAAUGGUCAUUCUACAUCAGUGCUGUUCAAUAAAAAUAUAACACAAGCCAAAAAUACAAACCACAAAUUGAACUUCAAAUUUUCUGGUAGCCACAUUAACAUGGCAAAAAGAACCAGGUGAAAUUAAUUUUAAUAAUAUAUUUUAUUUAACACUACUACACAUCCAAAAAUAUCAUUUCAAUAUGGGAUUAAUAUAAAACAAUUGUAAAGAUAUUUUACAUUCUUGUGUUGCCUUCACACUCCAGUGCGUAUUUCACACGUGUACAUCUCAAUUGGGACUAGCCACACUUCAAGUGCUUCAUAGCCAUGUGUGGCUAGUUGGCGGCUGCUCUUUUGACAGCGCAGUUUCAGAGCCUGAUACUGGAAGUGCUGGGUGAACCAGGAGCUUUUUAGGAAUGCAAAUCCUUGGAAUCAGAAUCUGCAUCUCCACAAGCACUCUGGGUGAUUGUGUGGGCAUUAGAACUUUGAGAAGCACUCUUCUUGGGAGAAUCCCAAUUCUUGUGCAAGUGAAACUUUGUUUUGAAUAUUUUUAUAACUUCUACAGCUCUAAUCUGUAUAAAAUUUUUGAGAGCAAUAUGCUCCCUCUCACCCCUUUAAAAAAUAAUGUUUUCUUUUUCUGGUUACUAAAGCCUAACUUGUUUAUAUAGAAAAAUUAGAAACUAGAAAUAAGAACAAAGGAAAUAAAAAUCACUCGUCAUUCCACCAACCAGAGAUAACUAGUACUGACAUUUUGGGUUUUAUCCUUUCGGUCCCUAAAAUGUUUAUUUCAUAAUUACACAAUAAAUUAUUAUAAAUAAUUUAACAGUAACAUAAAAAAGUUCUCCUUAAUUACUUCCCCAAAUGGAGUGCUAGCUUGAUCUGUUUAUCAGGUGAAGGACAUCUGGGUUUUUUCCAGUUUGGGGCAAUUAAAUCAAUAAAGUUGCUAUAAACAUUGGCUUUCAGGUUUUGGGGUAAAUAUAUAGGAUUCGGAUUCUAUUAGAAAACAUCUUUUUUUAAUGGCUGCAUUGUACUUCUGGAUUUGAAUGUAUAUGAAUAUAUAAUCAUUUAUUCAUUUAAUCAACAAAUGUUGGAUGCUAACACUGUGUUAUCAGUGAGAACACUGUGACUGUAGUGUUAGACCCGAUCCUCACAGAAAUUUGUAUUUAAUCAAAUCCUUAUUAGUAGACAUUUAAGUUAUUUCUGAUUUCUUUUUCAUAAACAAUGAGUUUUGAAAUUUCA